CAAGCACAUGGGAUUUGUAUUCAGCUACUGGGAAUGAAGAUGAACUUCAAUGGAAUUCAUCAUAAAGCAAUGAAACUACUCCUUAGCAUGUCUUCAGUAUGAUUAAUAGGUGAAUAAGGUUGGGAAUAUGCAGGCAGUUGGAUAGCAGUACUCAGAACAGAACUAAUCAACAUGCAAAAGAAGUAAGACCAAUAAAAGACAAAGAGCCAGUCAAUCUGAUGUAGAAAACUUGGGGGACAAACAGGAAAUUAAAAUUUCAUGAUUAUUUGAUCAGUAUAUUGAAGUGAAACUCUCAUGUUUGUUGUCACAUGUGUUGUCUCCUGCCUUGGCCAAUGGAACACAAGGCAGGAGAUCCUCAAGUAACCCAACUGAAAGACAUAAUAGCACAGAAUAAAACUAUGCAAAAACUUAGAGUAUCCAAUUCCUUAGACAGCACUUUUGGAGACUGUACCAGGCAUCAAUCCUAGAACAUUUCUAUUAUGUCAUGGAUCCAGAAAUCAGAAUAUUUAUUGCCAGGUUCUUUGGAAUAUUGUUUCAACAGUCCCUAAGAUAGAGGAUCAGUGGACUGCAGAGCUCAUGAUAAAAAUCUUUCCUAAAUAUGAAUACAAUGAAUUUUUAGAAAAGCAGUAAAAUCCUUUGGUUUUCACUUUGUGGACUUUGUUGAUAGGUCUGUUUGUCUAAUUCCAUCUGGCUUUCUAAAGUUAGCUCUACAAGACAGACAAGUCCACACUCCCAUUUAUGGGGGAAUUCUUCAACAGCUCUAAAGGAAUCAAUCAAGAUUAAAUAAUACAUGAUAUUAGUUUUUAUUCCAUUAAAACCUGAAAGGCUUCCAAAUCUGACACUUUUUUCUAAGUGCAGUGUUGGGCUAAACACCUUUUUAUCAAAACUUUGGAAUGUUUUAUCAUUUAUUAUUCCAGUCAAUAUUUCUGUGGGAAGGUGUUUUUUUGUGAGGGGAAGUUUUGAACACCUUGACACCAAAUAUUGUUUCUGAUGACUCUGAGCUCCUUCACAAAUUUCUUUCUCCCUUCAAAGUUUAUGGAUCACUGUGAACUGUGCUCUUCUGUUGCUCAUUCAAUUACAUCAUCAGGCCUGCAGCCAAUGUCUCUCUGAACUGUAUAAUGGAAAUUUGAAUUCAAUUUGUAGUGUUCAAUACUUCCUUGUAAAUCUUGUUUCCACAAAUCUCUGCUUCAGAGGCUGACCUUUUCCACUGUGGAGAGAUCCAGAGCUAUUUUCUUACUUUCAGCUUUUCUAAGAUUUUGAGUAUCUAGGGGUUUUCCCAGACUUGCUGUUCUCAAGAGACAGCACACUUUCCUGAAGAAUCCAAGUGUUCUAUAGUGGGGGUCCUUCUAAAUUCAAGCCUUUAGAAAAUGUUGCUGUACUCUUCUUAUUGUUCUGCUGGGUAAGUCUAGCCAAUUGACACAUGGUGUUUUUUCCAGAAGGGUGAGGAAAGGAUAGAUUUCACUUAUGCCACAAGCAGAUAGACAUCCAGUGUAACAAAAAUUCCUAUCUAAGUUUAGAGAAAAGCUUUCCCCAAGAGAGAUGACAUGAAAAAUCUUCAGGUAGGGUCAGUUUGCUGCAAACUCCAUGUGCUCUUGACGAAUUUUUGGCUUCUAACCUAUCAAUUGGACCAGCUAUCAAAUGCUCCUGCCCCUGAAAAACAUUGUAAUAUUCUCUCCUCCACCUCUUGUCAGCUAUAUAAACCUCCCUCAUAAGUCUCCAGAAGGUGAGAGAAAAAUCAAGGGUAACUCUAAGCACUGAACAGGAUGUAUUCCCAUUCUAAUGUUGCUUGUUUGCAGGAUAACUUGCUUGUUUGCAGGAUGUGUCCUCCCUAGAGGAUGUUUGCCUAAUCUAAACUUGCUUGUUACACCCAACCUUAACUGAAAAUUGUUCUACCCGAGAAAUGUAACCACCUUGUUCCUGUACUGUAGUGUGCCAUGAAAACUCCCCCUGUAUUGUGAGACCAGCAGAUGUUUAUGCUUUUACAAGACAAAAACUGCCUUUAGCUGUUAGGCAUGCAGUCUUCCAUAAUGACUACUGAAGGCUGCCUCACCAGGCCUGUGCUUUAAUGUUUUUUUUUUCUUUCCAAAUUAUUUUCUAUGGCUCGCUCAUACCUCGGCAAGUGGACCACCUCUUUUGGGGGCUCAUCCAGGAUGGAAUAACAGCCCACUGACUCAAUUCCUGAGGACUGAUUUGCUAAGAGGCAAAAAGGCAUCUUGGACCUGGAAGAGACUGCCAUGGCUGAUCCAGAAUGCCUAGAGUGCUUGUUUUCUUUAUCCCAUCCCAACUAGAACCCCAAAACAUCUGGAGGGAGAGAGGUUCUGACACAAUAUCACCUACUGUUUCUAGCAGCACUCCAUGGGGCAGCGAAGAAGCACACAAAUAAGUUCAAAGUAUCAGAGGUAUAUACCCCACAGAUUGAUCCUUGGGCCAGAUCAUCCUCUCUAUCCCCUUCUUCAGACUCCACUGAUUUUAUGGCAACUUCUUUGGAUGCUAUGUCAGCCAAAUUGUUUCCCCUGAUAAAGGGAUCAUCUCCUUUUUGGUCGGCCUUGCAAAGUAUGAUGGCCACUUUCUCAGGUAAGCAAAUCCCUGUAAACAGGUCUAAUUUUGGGGGGCACUUAUUAUUUUAUCUCCUGCUGGAGUCAAUAGUCCUCUCUGCUGAUAAGCUGACCAAUUUUCAUGUGCAAUGGCAAAAGCAUAUCUGCUAAUGUUAUAGAUGUUAGUCUGCUUACCUUCAGCCAGUUUCAAGGCUUUUGUCAAAGUAAUGAGUUCAGCUCCCUGAGCGGAAGUGCCAGAGUCCAGCAUUUGUGCCCCAAAAAUUUGGGUCUCAGAAGUAACAGCCAUUGCUGAAACUUUUGUACCUUGGUACAUGUAGCUUCUUCCUUCUGAGAAGAAUGAUGGUUCCCCUUCUAGAGGUUUGUCGGUCAGGUCAAAUUGAAGACUCUGAUAGCUGUCAAUCAAGGUGGAGCAUUCAUGUUAUGGGGUUGAGGGAUCCUCAUUGGGCAGCAGUGUGGCCGGAUUCAGGGCCACUGAGGACUUGAAAACAACAGAGUCAGGAUCUAAAAGCAGUGCUUGGUAAAGCGUUAUCCUUGCAAGAAAGUCGCUAAUCUCAAAUGGAAAACAGAUCCUCAAGGGAAGAUCAUUGUAGAGAUACCCUGCCAGAUCCAGGGAUAUCUUAUGUCCUGUUGGCACUGUAUCCAAGGUCAGAUUUGCAGGCAUGCCAUCUACAACUUUCAGCAAAGAAGCCUUGAGAGAAAGUCCUGUUGGAUACCAAGCCUCUGAAAACUACCCUUUUGAAAUCUUGCCCUGCGAUUUCUUCUGUACAAGUAAGAUCUCCUUGGCAAUGCCUGACUUUCUGUCUCGGGUCUCCUAAAUUCUGGGGUCUAGUUCACAAUUCUGCUCAACCAGUCACUGCCCAGUGUGGUUGCCAGGCAACUACAAGCCUCCUGAAUUGCAUCCACAGUUGGUAUCCAAAUCUGCAGCUUUCCAACUCACAGAACCAAAAUAAUUUGGAAAUCAUUUGGAAAGAAAUUUAAAAAAAUAUUUAUUAAUGCACA